ACAGGCAAUUUAUUCUUGUGCCUUGUCGUCAAUUUGGCCCUGCGGCACAAAUUAAACAUCUCGCUUUCAUCGAUCUUUUUGUACUGCUUAUUGUGACGAUAUCGCUGAGAAAGCGAUAACGGCGAAAAUAAGGGAGUUAUAAAUUGGUUCGAGCAGACAAACCACCCUGUGCCCCGACUACAGCGACCCACAAUGGGAACUUUUGGUAUCGGAAGCCUACCCCAAAUUGGAAACACAAGGACCAUAACGCGGAGUGAAACACUCAAAAAGGCGCUAAAUACGAAAUACACCCAAUACUUCUGAAAGCCAUGUGCACUAAGUACAAGCAUACAAGCAUUAUUUUACAAAAUUAUCCAAGAUCGCUAAAGAAGUUGAAGAACAUAUCAUUGUUUAUAUGUUUGCGGCUACUCAUGGCUGCAGAAUUUGCGGCUGCGACGGAUUCAUCGGAAAACAUGUCUGGUCUGGAAUAUCUGUUUCAGCAUCUAUCUUCUUCGUCAGCUCAACUCAAGCUGCCCAGCCGAGAGUUCUCUCUGAAUGUGAAAAAAGGUUCCGAUGGCGAGCAGCCUCAAAGUUUCGGAUUUAACCUUACAAACGGAAAAUUAUUGCAGAAAAGCGGCGCUCAGAAAACUGCCGACUCGCCAAAUAAUUGUCAAUACAGAAACGAUGACGCCAUAUCCUGCUACAUUUCUAUUCUCGACUGGAAUGCCACUUACCAAGGAGAAAUCAAUCACACUGAGCUAGGGAAUGGGAACUUCAACCUCACCAUCGCUUUAAAGAAAUGGGACCUUCCACAAAAUCCUGCCCAUAUGUGGAUAUACAUGAAAUUUACCGAAACUUCU